rnacentral:rRNA from 1 species
CAGUCGCCGCGGGAAUACGAGGGGGGCAAGCGUUGUUCAGAAUUAUUGGGCGUAAAGGGUGCGUAGGCGGUUUGACAAGUCUUAUGUGAAAUCUCUGGGCUCAACCCAGAGUCUGCAUGGGAAACUGUCGAGCUUGAGUAUGGGAGAGGUGAGUGGAAUUUCCGGUGUAGCGGUGAAAUGCGUUGAGAUCGGGAAGAACACCAACGGCGAAAGCACUCUGCUGGGCCGACACUGACACUGAGAGACGAAAGCUAGGGGAGCAAAUGGGAUUAGAUACCCGCGUAGUCCCUGUCUCUUAUAA